rnacentral:rRNA from 1 species
AACGAACGCUGGCGGCAUGCCUAACACAUGCAAGUCGAACGAGACCUUCGGGUCUAGUGGCGCACGGGUGCGUAACGCGUGGGAACCUGCCCUUAGGCUCGGAAUAACUCCCCGAAAGGGGUGCUAAUACCGGAUAAUGUCUUCGGACCAAAGAUUUAUCGCCUUUGGAUGGGCCCGCGUUGGAUUAGCUAGUUGGUAGGGUAAAUGCCUACCAAGGCGACGAUCCAUAGCUGGUCUGAGAGGAUGAUCAGCCACACUGGGACUGAGACACGGCCCAGACUCCUACGGGAGGCAGCAGUGGGGAAUAUUGGACAAUGGGCGAAAGCCUGAUCCAGCAAUGCCGCGUGAGUGAUGAAGGCCUUAGGGUUGUAAAGCUCUUUUACCCGGGAUGAUAAUGACAGUACCGGGAGAAUAAGCUCCGGCUAACUCCGUG